rnacentral:rRNA from 1 species
UAUCUCUGUAGAGUCUGCAUAUCAAUAAGCGGAGGAAAAGAAACUAACUAGGAUUCCCUCAGUAACGGCGAGUGAAGCGGGAAGAGCUCAAAUUUGAAAUCUUCAAGGUUCUACCUUGACGAAUUGUAGUUUAAAGAAGUGUUUUCUGUUGGAAGUUUUGGUAAAAGUUCUUUGGAAAUAGGACAUCAAAGAGGGUGAGAAUCCCGUAUUUGACCAUUAUUUCCAGCUUUGUGAUACACUUUCAAAGAGUCGGAUUGUUUGGGAAUGCAGUCCAAAAUGGGUGGUAAAUUUCAUCUAAAGCUAAAUACUGGCGAGAGACCGAUAGCGAACAAGUACCGUGAGGGAAAGAUGAAAAGAACUUUGAAAAGAGAGUUAAACAGUACGUGAAAUUGUCAAAAGGGAAGCGUUUGACACCAGUGUUGUUUUCUCGAAAAUCAAUUAAAAAAGUAUGGGAUUUUGUAUUGUUAUGACCUUCAUCAGCUUACUGUACUUUUUUCUUAGUCUUUUUAAUGCACUUUUCGUUUAACAAGUCAACAUCAAUUUCUUUUGUUGUAAAAGAGUCAUUGGAAGGUGGCUUUCACUUUCGGAUGAAAGUGUUUAUAGCCUUUGGCUUCUGCAAUCGGAGAGAUUGAGGUCUGCAGCGUAGAUCCUUCGGGGUUAGAUACAUUAGAUGCUAAGUUAUAGCUUUUCAUAGACAACUUGUUGACUAUGAUUAAGCCAUGUAGCUUACUCGUUUGCGCUAUUUUACCUACGCUUAGGAUGUUGAUCUCUCACAGUCGAGC